AAUAAAAAUAAUGAAAAUGAAAGAGAGAGAGUGUAAAAAGUUUCUCACUUGAGAAAUUCUGAGAUAUUCUGUACAACCCAUCAUUACAUUUCUCUUUCUACUAUUGAUUCAAUUUUUU
rnacentral:sRNA from 1 species